rnacentral:lncRNA from 1 species
CGGUGACAAGCACGCGGAGGAGGCCCCUCAGACCCAGGGGGAGGUGCCUGGUGAUGUCACCCUGGCAAUGUUCUGCACGAAGCUGCUACAGCUGCCCUGAGUUCACACCAGAGUCGCCAUCCCAGGAACAAGGGGACGGCAGGACAGUGCCCAAAGCACGGUUUCCAGGUGAAGCGGGUUUUUCUUUGGGGUUUGAUGGCUGUGGGGUAGAAGACCCGGGUAGGAAGGCGGCGAAGGAAAGGAAGGGGACUGUAGCUGGGGAUGUGAAGCACCCACCCCGUAACCUGGGCCCGACCCGCUGGGUCCUCUGGGCCCGUCACUCCCAAAGCUCUGAGAAAUCUCCACGUCUCAGCCUCACUGUGAAGUUACUCAUCUCUGAAAAUCGCCUCCUGCUGGCGAGAUCACCUGCGCCCUGAGCCGCACCAUGCCGCUGAGAUCAGGCAGAGCGCAGCAGGUGUAGUUCAGAAACCUGCGGCCACCUGCAGAGGAGGCGGGGUCCACAGGCAGAUCCCAGGGCCAGGGACACCUCAGGAUCUAUGAUCAAAGAACAGAGCUCACCAGACGGACGUCACCCCACGUGCUUUCCCUGUGCCCACCUGAAACGGCUGAAGGCAGGGUCUUCCCUCUGAAAUAAGAAUAAAGUCCCCCCUGCUGAGGGAAGGGAGCCCAGGGGCUGUGACCCCCCCACACACAGCCCACCAAGGAGCAGCAAAGAAACAGGUGAGUGGAGAGGGAGGUCACCCCUGCCCCUGACCUGUCCAGCAUGGACAACUGGCUGUAUACGUGCCUCCCCAGGCUCUCAGUUCUGUAAACUGCAUCUGCCCCUUGGUGGGGAGAAGCCACCUAGCUGCUUGUCCCCAUUUUGAUCAAACUGCAUAAAUUCCUUUUUCUAUGCGGGUGGGGGACUGGGUCUAGCCAGCCAGGAUCCAGACAGGGUCCCUGGUCAGGUUGCUGGUAACACACCUAUCACAAGGUGUCUUUUAAAAGCCAGCUUCACCUUGUCACCAGGGAGCAUCGCAACCCCCCAGAGGCCUCUCCAUCUUCCCAGACCACGUCAGUUUUCAUCUCCGCCAUGCGACUGACCACCUAUGCACACUAGCUGCCUGUCCUUAAUUCCUGCUUCCCAGUGAUGGGCCUCGUCACCAGAGAGCAUUCUGUGCAGUCACGGGCUGCGUGCCAUGUUCCAGUCCACCUCGGGCCACGCCUCACCUGGUGACAUCACACCGUGAGUACACCCUGCAAAACAACAAAGUUGCCUCAUGACCGCACGUUUCUCAGAACGUCUUCAGAUUCUGCCAUCGACCGCGACUGUGGUCGGCACUAGGAAAAAACCUUUGAGGAUUUCUUUUUCAAAGAACAUAUAACGGUGGGGGGUGCCUCGGUUUCUGCGGGAUCAGGACGCUGGGUGAGAGGACACGUUCGGGUCUAAAUUAGAGAGGCCCCAGUGGUGGAUUCCGCCCAGGGCAGGGCCAGCCAGGAUUCCUGGUGGGGCCAGGAGUGACAGCCCAGGAGAGGGUGGGGCUGGGGAGGCCCUCGGUCCAGGAGGAGGGCCAGGGUCCUCGGUCCAGGAUGGGGGCAGGGCUCAAGGGCACAGGCCCCGAGGAGGAGCAAGCUUGGCCUGGCUGUCCCCAGUGGACGAUAACAAGGUGACAGUAAUAAUGGCCGCUGCUCUCCUGCAGCCAUGACUGCAGCCCCGCCCUGUCCUGGGCACUGUUUGCAGAGCCUCCCAACAGCUCCCUGAGUCGGCUGUCCUCCCGUCCUGGAAGAGGAAGGAGAGGCAGCGCGUCUUAGUCAGCUCUUCACCCUGGGCCAAAAGACCCGGCAAGAACUGUUCUAGAGGAGGAAGUUUACUGGGGCUCACAGUUUCAGAGGUCUCAGUCCACCGUCGGGCAGCUCCUCUGUCCUGGGCCCAAGCGAGGCAGGGCACCAUGGCAGAAGGGCAGGGGAAAUGGCCGCGGGCCUGGGGGAUGCACUCACCAGGCUCAAACGCACACUCAGGGCCAAGAACAGCUUUGUGUCUAAAUCAUUUUGCCCCAAACUUGUGGGUGUUUGUCCUCGCAGCCGCGUGGGCCUCUGUCCUGCUGGUGUUUGACCCGAUUGACCCACACAGGGCCUGCGGCUACCUGGCCGCUGCCCACCCUGCCCGGUGCUGGAGCCCUGGGCCUGCUGGUGGGAGGUCCACACUUGCUGGCGUGAAGCAGCGUGGAAGUGAGCCCACCUCUUCCUUCUGAUGUCUUGGCAUUGGGCAGUCUCAGGUGACAAGCCACGCUGUCCCUUCCUCUCUCCACACCAGGACUGAAAGCCUAUUUGUGCCCAACGCCAGGAAAGUGGAAAUUUCCCCAGGCCUGUUUCUGGUGCUUAGAGAGACCCCGGUGGCCUUUCCUAUUGUUCUUCACCAAAGGAAUUGGGCACCUCUGUUCGGAGCUCGCCUGGUGAGACCGCGACCUAACCCUUGGACCUGGUUCCCCCCGGGAGCCUUGGCUGGGCCGAGAGGGGGCCCGGGCUGCGCUGGGGGCCCUCUGUAUGCAUGUUUGCAUUUUCUUCCCUGAGACGUGGCAGUCGCGGUCCUGCGGUCCCUGCAGCGGGACAGGCACAUGGAGAGCCACCCAGGAAGGUCUGUCACUCUGGGGAGUGCCAGGCUCUCUCCAGCAGCAGACCCCCGCCCAGCCUUCCUCUGCUAGGAAAUACUUCUGCCUCCAGGAAGUAGAGAAGAGGCCAGUGCGGGCCUCGGGCGGCCAGCCAGCUCUGUGAAGCCUGCCCACCGCAUCAGCUCCAGAUGUUUUUCGUUCAAAAUAAAACAUGGAGUGGUCAAUGCCCCUGUGACCUGCCCUCCGCAGUCCCGUCUCUGUCGGCCCCAGGGAUGCACUCGGGGCGUCCAUCGAUGCAGGGCGUCGUGGUCUGCCACACGCGUGGGCCUGUGAACGCCACCCCGUAAGCCACCCAGUUGGCGUGUUUUAAACCAUGCAGGGGUCACACGGCGCUUCCCACAGAUGGCUCUUGUCUGAACUUGACUCCCGUAGGGCCUCCUGCUGGACGGUGUGUGACCAUCAGAUCAAGACAGAAGAGCCGUGUAGAACAGGGCAGGACGGGCAGCUCGGGGGGCAGCGGGGAGGUGCGGGGGGUAGGGAGGGGGCUGUCAUCCAGAAGGUGGUCAGGAGGGCACGGGUCAGUGGCCAGCUCCACCCAGUCCACUGGAGAUUUUCCCCGCACGAAAGUCUUGUGUCCCCUAAAACAAGGGAGCCCAUGAAGUCGAGGGGGAGCACAGGCAGGUCCCCAGCACAGCUCGCGGGCACGGACGGGCACUGACGGGCAUGCCAGACGCCUCUGCAGAUCCCAGUGUCACUCCUGGUGAUGACGUUUUUAUAAUUGUAGAAAUCUGUCCAUCAGGAAAACUGACUUUUUGGGUGAUCAUUUUGGUGACUUCUACACAGAGACUUGUGUGACCACCACCAAGGACAGAAUCCAGAUCAGCUCUGCCGCCCCCCGAAAGCCCCCUGGUGCCAUACCAAGCCGCCCGCGUACUGCAGCUCGCCCAGUUCUUCUGCACACUCAGGAGAAGCCAACCCCAUACGACUUCUUGUUUCUCUCUUAGGAAUUCCCUCGUAGUGGACUAAUUUCUUACUCUUUCCAUUCUCCCCCUUUCAUGACAGGUAAGCGCAGCAUCCUGAUUGCCUUUGUGCGUAGAGAUCAAUUAUAGCAUUUAUGACCUUCUCUGUAGGAGAACAACGAAGCUCUUCACAGGGGGCGGAGGGUUGCGGGGUUGAGAACCCUGGUCCCCAGGAAAUUCCACCAGGUCGUCGGCAACUGCACAAGGUGGGCUUUUUCUCCUUUGAGUGGCCGCCAGCAGCCGGUGUGGCAGGACUCGUAGGAGGAAGACCCAGGUACAGGGCAAAGGGGGCCUGAGGACCCCACGGCUGAUUCACUGUGCAUCUGCGGAUCUUUCAAACCAGGCCUGGCGCUGUGUCACCUCUGGGUCCCUAGCAUGUCUGCUGUCUGAAUGGGUCGCCGUCUUCAGGUCCUCCCCCUUGGACGGCAGUAGGAAGGAUUCGACAGGUGGGUCCCACAGGUGUUGGGGUGACCGCAGGUGUUGGGGUGACCACGUGGCCCCUGCAAGAUGGCAAGGGUCAGUCUCUUGGUUACGGGCUCAUGGGAACACCCAAUUCAAAGAGGCGAUUCGGAUGAGUCUGAGGGAUUUUUUAGAGCGAUUUUAGAUCUGUCCAAAACUGGGGCAGGAAUGGAGGACUCCUCCUGUCCCUCUGAACUGAAGGUGGUUUUACUUAGUGAAAGCUUAGACGGGUCCAAAGGUCCGGAAUGUUCCUUUUAAGUUUCACCCUUUGUGUUUCUCUUCACAGAUGGAAACAGGAACUCCCCUCCCACUCGGCCUGGCUAGCUGGGACAAUAACGAGGAUGGGGACGAUGGGAAGGGCUUGGCAUCCACAGCGCCCUGCGUAGGGACAGGGACGGUAAGGUCCACGGGAAGCUCCCCUGGAAGAUCCAUCCCAAAGACCAACUAUCCAGCCCACCAGGACACAGGCGGAAGGCUGGCCAUGCCUUGGGAUUCUGAGUCCCAUUUAGUCCAACCCCCAGCCCACUCAGGCCACGGUGUUUAGUGAGCACCUGCUACGUGAGGGGUGUGGGAACUAAGCGCCAUGGACCCUACAGCCUGGAGCAGUGACAGGUAUCAGGAGGUGCGCUGUCACACCUGUGUUCUGGUUGGCGUGGUUCUCAUUCCUCGCAUAUCUUCCAAGGAACGCUGCUCUGGAGGAGAGACCCUUCAACCCUGUGCUCAAUUCCUUUGGAAUUCUAACAAUUCAGUCCAGCACACCUUUUAACCCUGCUUAUACUGUUGCCCCAGGUGACCGAGACACCUCAGAGACCAGGCCAGUGCUGGGGGUCACUGAUGGCCCAGCCUGUGUCCCCCCACUCCUCCCCAAGACCCCCAGUCCUGUGCUUGCUUGUGCAGAGCCUUGGGUUCUGUCUCAGCACCACAAAACAACAACAACAACAACAGUAAUAAUAACAACUAUCCCGGGGCCUCCUAGGAUGAGAAACCCACAAGGUGGCUUGAAACAGACCAAAGCUCUCCCUGGCUCUGGGCAACUGGUUACUUAAAAGUACCUCUUUUUCCUAGGACAUUCUGUUUUUAAAUUAAUCAACAGACUGAUUUUUUGGAGCGAUUUUUAACUCCACAGAAAAAUGGAGCAGAAGGACCAGGGUUCCCACGCACCUGACCUGUCCUGCAGCUGGCGUAACAGAGACAGGUCCUUCUCUCCUGUGACCCUGCCGUCCCAAGGUUCUGCUUGUGACCGGCACUGGCCAAGAGAAUGAAAUGUGAUUUUAUUUUUUCUUUUUAAUCAGACUUUACUUUUUAGAGCAGUCUCAGGUUUAAAGACAAAAUCUGUAGUGAAGGAGGCCAGCGUCCCCAACCCCAAGCCCUGCCCCCCCCCCCUCAGUUCUUAGCAUCUGGCAGAGAGGGACGUUGGUUACAAAUGAUGAGUCAAUACGGGUCCAUUAUUAUCAACUAAGGGGUCAGUCUGUGUUGGCUGUUCUGUGGGUUUUGAUAAAGGAAUUGUGACACUUUCCCUCCAUUGUGUAUCUUGCAGAGUGCGCACUGCCUACAAGCCCCCAGACCCCAUCUCUCUCCCUCCUUCCCCAAGUCCCUGACAACCGCUGAUUUUUUUUAAGUUUCUAUAGUUUCCACCUUUAUGAAUCAGCGCGCCUGACCCAAGUCAGUGACGGACCCUGAGGAGGUAAGAGCCCCGGUACCCUCUGUUUGACAGUUGUGCGUGCACAUUGGUGCAGGGGGACACGUGGAGCGAGAGAGUAGAAAAGGCACGGCUCACCCCACUUUACCCCCUCCCACAUUGAAAAUCAGCCUAACUUCCUCAGACCCCCACCCAGGAACCGGGAUGUGAUGGAGACCCAGAGGACGUCAUCAACGGCGUCAAUCCUAGAGCCAGGCCCACGGAGAACCUCGGGAAGGGUUCCUUUGCUCCACACUUCACCUGUAUUUCUGUGUCCCAUGGAGUUCCCAGUGCAACCCACAUGGAUUUGUUUUCUUUGUUUGUUUGUUUGUUUGUUUUUUGGUGCUGGGGAUUAAACUCAGGGACUCGACCACUGAGCCACAUCCCCAGCCCUAAUUUGUAUUUUAAAGAGAGAAUGUGCCUUGGUGCCAAGGCUUGUCUGCUGGAUGCCCCCCCCCCCCACACACACACACACCUGCACCCCUCCCUGCAGGGAGCUCUAGACCAGGAAGAGACCGUCUUCCACAAAAACGCAGAGCGCUCCACAGCCUCAUGGUCACGGAUGCCGAGCAUAAGUAGUGACAGCAGCUUGCCAGUGGGCAGGACUUGGCAGAGAGUCCCCAUGCAAAUCCGCCGCCACACCAGCACGCUCCGCACAGGGCUGUGAAAUCCGCCUUCACUCGCUCAAUUCACACCCUGGCAGAGCUGCCAACAGCUCUGUGCAUCUACGCAAUAACCCUCAUUCUGUCACCGUUUCCUUGACCUUCACACACCCUCUGACAGCAUUUUUUUUGUUUUUGGGAAGUGGGGGCUACCUUUAAGAAAUUAAAAUGUCCAAUUCUGUUGGGGGAGAUCUUA